rnacentral:rRNA from 1 species
UAAACAGAGGGAAGCGAGCCCGCGAGGGGGAGCGAAUCCCAAAAAUAACGUCCCAGUUCGGAUUGUAGUCUGCAACCCGACUACAUGAAGCUGGAAUCGCUAGUAAUCGCGGAUCAGAAUGCCGCGGUGAAUACGUUCCCGGGCUUGUACACACCGCCCGUCACACCAUGGGAGUCGGAAAUGCCCGAAGUCUGUGACCCAACCUUAGGGAGGGAGCAGCCGAAGGCAGGUCGGAUGACUGGGGUGAAGUCGUAACAAGGUAUC